CGGGGGGGGGGGACGGAUCGCGGAAGGUUGUCCGGGUGUUGGAAGUCCCGGUCGCUGCGUUGGAGAAGGCACUCAGGCAAAUCCGGGUGCGUAAUUCAAGGGCGUGGCGCCAUUCACUUCGGUGAAGAAGCAAUCGGAAGUGGUUCCAAGAAAAGCCUCUAAGCUUCAGUUUAACAGGACCGUACCGCAAACCGACACAGGUGGGCGAGAUGAGUAUUCUAAGGCGCUUGAGAGAACUCGGGAGAAGGAACUCGGCAAAUUGGUACCGUAACUUCGGGAUAAGGUACGCCCCUGUAGCCUGACUGGCCUGCGCCAGAAGGGUGAAGGGGUUGCAAUAAACUGGUGGCUGCGACUGUUUAAUAAAAACACAGCACUCUGCAAACACGAAAGUGGACGUAUAGGGUGUGACGCCUGCCCGGUGCCGGAAGAUUAAAUGAUGGGGUGCAAGCUCUUGAUUGAAGUCCCGGUAAACGGCGGCCGUAACUAUAACGGUCCUAAGGUAGCGAAAUUCCUUGUCGGGUAAGUUCCGACCUGCACGAAUGGCGUAACGAUGGCCACACUGUCUCCUCCCGAGACUCAGCGAAGUUGAAGUGUUUGUGAUGAUGCAAUCUCCCCGCGGCUAGACGGAAAGACCCCAUGAACCUUUACUGUAGCUUUGCAUUGGACUUUGAACCGGUCUGUGUAGGAUAGGUGGGAGGCUUUGAAGCGUGGACGCCAGUCUGCGUGGAGCCAACCUUGAAAUACCACCCUGGUUUGUUUGAGGUUCUAACCUUGGUCCGUAAUCCGGAUCGGGGACAGUGCAUGGUAGGCAGUUUGACUGGGGCGGUCUCCUCCCAAAGUGUAACGGAGGAGUACGAAGGUACGCUAGGUACGGUCGGAAAUCGUGCUGAUAGUGCAAUGGCAUAAGCGUGCUUAACUGCGAGACCGACAAGUCGAGCAGGUGCGAAAGCAGGUCAUAGUGAUCCGGUGGUUCUGUAUGGAAGGGCCAUCGCUCAACGGAUAAAAGGUACUCUGGGGAUAACAGGCUGAUACCGCCCAAGAGUUCAUAUCGACGGCGGUGUUUGGCACCUCGAUGUCGGCUCAUCUCAUCCUGGGGCUGUAGCCGGUCCCAAGGGUAUGGCUGUUCGCCAUUUAAAGAGGUACGUGAGCUGGGUUUAAAACGUCGUGAGACAGUUUGGUCCCUAUCUGCCGUGGGCGCUGGAUAUUUGAAGGGGGCUGCUCCUAGUACGAGAGGACCGGAGUGGACGAACCUCUGGUGUACCGGUUGUCACGCCAGUGGCAUCGCCGGGUAGCUAUGUUCGGAAGAGAUAACCGCUGAAAGCAUCUAAGCGGGAAACUCGCCUUAAGAUGAGAUAUCCCCGGGGCUUCGAGCCCCUUGAAGGGUCGUUCGAGACCAGGACGUUGAUAGGUCAGGUGUGGAAGCGCAGUAAUGCGUUAAGCUAACUGAUACUAAUUGCCCGUAAGGCU
rnacentral:rRNA from 1 species